AUUGAACGCUGGCGGCAGGCCUAACACAUGCAAGUCGAACGAGUGGCGGACGGGUGAGUAAUGUCUGGGAAACUGCCUGAUGGAGGGGGAUAACUCCUGGAAACGGUAGCUAAUACCGCAUACCAUCGGAGGUGCCCAGAUGGGAUUAGCUUGUAGGUGGGGUAACGGCUCACCUAGGCGACGCUCCCUAGCUGGUCUGAGAGGAUGACCAGCCACACUGGAACGUGUACACGGUCCGGACUCCUACGGGAGGCAGCAGUGGGGAAUAUUGCACAAUGGGCGAAAGCCUGAUGCAGCCAUGCCGCGUGUAUGAAGAAGGCCGUCGGGUUGUAAAGUACUUUCAGCGGGGAGGCGUUACCCGCAGAAGAAGCACCGGCUAACUCCGUGCCAGCCGCCGCGGUAAUAC
rnacentral:rRNA from 1 species